rnacentral:rRNA from 1 species
UACGAAGGGGGCUAGCGUUGCUCGGAAUCACUGGGCGUAAAGGGUGCGUAGGCGGGUCUUUAAGUCAGGGGUGAAAUCCUGGAGCUCAACUCCAGAACUGCCUUUGAUACUGAGGAUCUUGAGUAUGGGAGAGGUGAGUGGAACUGCGAGUGUAGAGGUGAAAUUCGUAGAUAUUCGCAAGAACACCAGUGGCGAAGGCGGUCUGCUGGGCCAAGACUGACGCUGAGGCGCGACAGCGUGGGGAGCAAACAGG